rnacentral:rRNA from 1 species
UACGGAGGAGGCAAGCGUUAUCCGGAAUUAUUGGGCGUAAAGCGCGUGUAGGCGGUUCGGUAAGUCCGCUGUGAAAGUCGGGGGCUCAACCCUCGGAUGCCGGUGGAUACUGUCGGGCUAGAGUACGGAAGAGGAGAGUGGAAUUCCCGGUGUAGCGGUGAAAUGCGCAGAUAUCGGGAAGAACACCCGUGGCGAAGGCGGGUCUCUGGGCCGAUACUGACGCUGAGGAGCGAAAGCGUGGGGAGCGAACAGG